UUUAGCUCAUGAGUGACACAUCGCUGACAUCAGCAUGUCUGUCACUAUUUUAUGCUGCCCUCAGUUAGGUCAGAAUAAAGUUGAUGACAGGUUCACUUUAAAAGAAGACCUGUCACCUCUCCUAAUAUUUAGUAUAACGUUUUAGUAUAUAAUUGUAUUCCACAUGAAAUGAGAAUUCUGGAACAUCUUUCUUAUCACUCUGUGUUAUGCCAUUCCUCUAUUAACCCUGCUAGAUGUGUAUGAAUAAAGGUACAAUUGGGUGUUACCAUUUGGGGGGUGUCCAUGCACAGUCUGGCACUAUCUACUCAGGGCUGGCAACUGUGCAGAGACACACUCCCAACACCCAGUUCUACCUUUAGUCAUAAACUUCUAGCAGGAAUAAUAGGGGAUAAUCACAUCAUACAGUUAUAAGAAAAGGUCGUCCAAAAUUGGAAUGCAAGUAGUUAUUUAAACAGAAGUGUCAGGAGAGCUGACAUUCUAGUGUUUAGAUUCUGGUGCAAUGAUGUACCUUUUAAAGGAUUCUCUGUGAAUGAUUUAAAAUGUCCGCCAGCAACCUAUCCUAGAAUAUGAGCAGGACUGGUUGCCUCCACUUGCAGAGCUGCCUAGGGGGCUGAGGUGCACACUGUGCUCUGGCACUUGCAUAUACUACAUAGUAGUGAGUGUUCCUGUCAGGCUGCUCAGCCAUGAUAACAUAUCAUAGGCAGGAUAACAUCAUACUAUGUAUUGUAGAGCAGUGGAGUGAGGCCCUGCCCCCUCACCCCCCUAGGUGUGGCAACCAGUACGUCUCACAUUCUAGGUCAGGUUACUGGUGGCCAUUUUAAACCAUUCCCUGAGAACCCCUUUAACAACUUUGGGUCCGACUUGACCUCAGAAGAAAAU